AGAAUCAACGCUGGCGGCGUGCCUAACACAUGCAAGUCGCACGAGAAAGUGGAGCAAUCCACGAGUAAAGUGGCGCACGGGUGAGUAACACGUGACUAACCUACCCUUGAGUGGGGAAUAACUGAGGGAAACCUUAGCUAAUACCGCAUAACACCUACGGGUCAAAGGAGCAAUUCGCUUAAGGAGGGGGUCACGGCAGAUUAGUUAGUUGGCGGGGUAAUGGCCCACCAAGACAGUGAUCUGUA
rnacentral:rRNA from 1 species